AGGGUUUGAUCAUGGCUCAGAUUGAACGCUGGCGGUAGGCUUAACACAUGCAAGUCGAGCGAGAAAGUAUCUUCGGAUAUGAGUAGAGCGGCGGACGGGUGAGUAACGCGUAGGAAUCUACCUAGUAGAAGGGGAUAGCCCGGGGAAACUCGGAUUAAUACCGUAUACCUCCUAAGGGAGAAAGAGGGCCUCUCUUGAAGCUCUCGCUACUAGAUGAGCCUGCGUAAGAUUAGCUUGUUGGUAAGGUAAUGGCUUACCAAGGCUACGAUCUUUAGCUGGUCUGAGAGGACGAUCAGCCACAUUGGGACUGAGACACGGCCCAGACUCCUACGGGAGGCAGCAGUGGGGAAUAUUGGACAAUGGGCGCAAGCCUGAUCCAGCCAUACCGCGUGUGUGAAGAAGGCCUUCGGGUUGUAAAGCACUUUAAGCAGGGAGAAAAAGUUUUAAGUUAAUACCUUAUAACCGUGAUGUUACCUGCAGAAUAAGCACCGGCUAAUUCCGUGCCAGCAGCCGCGGUAAUACGGAAGGUGCAAGCGUUAAUCGGAAUUACUGGGCGUAAAGCGCGCGUAGGUGGUUUGUUAAGUUGGAUGUGAAAGCCCUGGGCUCAACCUAGGAACUGCAUCCAAAACUAACUCACUAGAGUACGAUAGAGGGAGGUAGAAUUCAUAGUGUAGCGGUGGAAUGCGUAGAUAUUAUGAAGAAUACCAGUGGCGAAGGCGGCCUCCUGGAUCUGUACUGACACUGAGGUGCGAAAGCGUGGGUAGCGAACAGGAUUAGAUACCCUGGUAGUCCACGCCGUAAACGAUGACAACUAGCUGUUGGGAGACAAUGUCUUUCAGUGGCGCAGCUAACGUUUUAAGUUGUCCGCCUGGGGAGUACGGCCGCAAGGCUAAAACUCAAAUGAAUUGACGGGGACCCGCACAAGCGGUGGAGCAUGUGGUUUAAUUCGAUGCAACGCGAAGAACCUUACCAGCUCUUGACAUUGCUAAGUCGCGAGUUUUAGAGAUAAAACUCUUCAGUUCGGCUGGACUUAGUACAGGUGCUGCAUGGCUGUCGUCAGCUCGUGUCGUGAGAUGUUGGGUUAAGUCCCGCAACGAGCGCAACCCUUGUCCUUAGUUGCCAGCAAUUCGGUUGGGCACUCUAGGGAGACUGCCGGUGAUAAACCGGAGGAAGGCGGGGAUGACGUCAAGUCCUCAUGGCCCUUACGGGCUGGGCUACACACGUGCUACAAUGGCGUCUACAAUGGGUCGCAAUAGGGCAACCUAAAGCUAAUCUCAAAAAGACGUCUCAGUUCGGAUUGUACUCUGCAACUCGAGUACAUGAAGUUGGAAUCGCUAGUAAUCGCGGAUCAGAACGCCGCGGUGAAUACGUUCCCGGGCCUUGUACACACCGCCCGUCACACCAUGGGAGUUGGUUUUACCUGAAGGCGAUGUGCUAACUUCGGAGGCAGUCGACCACGGUAAGGUCAGCGACUGGGGUGAAGUCGUAACAAGGUAGCCGUA
rnacentral:rRNA from 1 species